ACUAGUAAGAGAACAGCGGUUUGGGUUUGUUAGGGCAUUAACAUAACGUGAAAGAAGAACUGGAGAAUAAUUGGAACAGAGGUCAACGAGAUAACAUGUAUUUAUACAGGUGGUUUGGAGUAUUAUUGCAUACAAAUAUAUCUAACAUUAUGUCUGCACGUAUUAUUUCGGGGUUGGCCUUUACGUUGAGUUAGGGGAGUAAUUACUGAGUACGUUUUGUUAGCCGGAGCUACGUUUAAGGAAAAAUAUGAUGCAAAUAAGAACUGAUUAAAUUUAAAAUAUCAGUCUUCUUGUAAAUCCCCGUAGAUAAUCGCCGGAUCGUAGCAUAUAACUUUCCACUAUGAAUUUUAUUAUGUGGGGUGCACCAAAACAAAUUUCUCUCUAUAUAAAUUCUCUUUUAUU